rnacentral:tRNA from 1 species
CAGAAAAUAAUUUAAUUAAAAUAUUAGCUUUGGAAGUUAAACAUGGUAUUAUUAUCUUUUCUGA